rnacentral:lncRNA from 1 species
GGGAAAGAAAUUGUAGAACACCUUCUAGCGAAUCAUCAAAAAGCACCGCAUUCCCAAUAGCACCAGCAAUCAAAAACCACAUAAGUCAACAAGCCAAUUGAUCUACAUCCAGUAAUCAGCGUUGAAGUAAGAAAAACUUGCAAGGCGGUCUUUUUCACAGUAUUUUCCACCAAAAAUAGUUUGACUCUUGGUGAUGUAGCAAGUUUCCAAAUGAUAGAGAAGUUCACUUGAUCUUCCCUCUCUGAAAUAUUUUGAUGUAUUAGCUCAUUAUAAAUCUGAUGUGCCUUCGCUGAAGUUGAGGCGGAUUGAUACCAAGUGUCGCAAUCCUCGGCAAUCUACCUUAAUAAUGGGAGAGAAGUAAUUCUGCUGACCAACUCAUGAUUGACGCACUCAUGGAGAAUAGUAAGAUCCCACUUAGCAGGCUCAGUAAAGAGAGUACUUGUUUUUACGACAUUGAUGUCCUUUUUUUUCCUUCUAGUUAGGAAGUGACCAAUCCUGCUCAAUUCAGGCAUCUAGAAAGAUGUUAAGAUCCCGGUCCAUAUUUUCAAAAUAAAAUAUUAAAAACUGACCAUUGUGAUAAAUGUGAGAUUAAAAACUAUAUUUAACUAUUAAUUUGAAAUUUAUUACUUAAAAACAUAUCUACCGAAGUCAAAAAGUGAUUAAAACUAUCUAUCGGUAUGAACAUAUAAUAUCAGCUGAUUUCUCAUAUAAAGACUAUUUAUCAAUUUAUAUUGGUCAAUGUAAUAGGAUCAAGAUUUUUAUAAUUAUUAUAAUGGAAGAUGCUCAAUUCCUAUAUUGAACCAAGAAUUAUUUUCCUUGUUUUUUUCCCCCAAGAAGCAAAGCACCUCACAUGUGAGUGACCAUCUUCCUUUAGGGCAAAUCAUGAGAGUAUAUGGUUAAUUUGUUGAUACCAUAUUUCUUCUUUUAAUUAGAAAGUAAAAAAUAGUGCUCAAGAUUACGACUAAAAUAAUUGCAGUAAUUGAUCUUUAAUACACAAAUUAUAAAUUAUAAUAAUGAAAAAGGGUCUAGGAGUUAGUAGAUAAAUGAUUAAGAUCUCAUUAGUCAUUGAUCAACAGUGUGUUUAAAAGUGGACUAUUUGUCAAUCAGCAUCUCUUUUAUAGAAUAAAAUUUUAGGAGGUGAAAUCUCAUUAGCUGAAAAUGAAGGGGAAGAGGACAUUUGCAGGGCACUUCACUGUCAUGAACCAUUUUGUUGCUUGUUUUAUAAUCUACAUAAUGGCAAUCAAAAUAGGGGCGGUAUAAAAUUAUUAUAGUUCACAUCUACACUGCUCAUUUUUUAUUAUGAUUGAUAAAGAAGCACUAUUUUGUUGUUAAAGGACGAAAGAAUUAUAUAAGGUUUCAAUACUGUUCCAAGGUCAUUUAACAAUUUAAUGUUAAAAGGACUGAUGCAUGUAGGCACACUGACAUAUUUUUAUAUUGGUAAUGAGACAAGCUAACUGGUGUGAGAAUGAAUUGUUACAGCACAAAACCUUAUCCAAAAAUACUGAAAACCUUCUGCUUUGUGCAGCCUUCUUACUAGUGAUGUGGCUGUGCUCAUGCGAAAGUAGUGUGAAUAGCUGAUGUAUAAACCUUUCAGUUUCUUUCUCCUGUCCUCUACUUGAAACUGCAUAUCCUUUUCCUUCUCGCUGUCAGCCAUUCCACCGACAUUUGACACAACCCGGCCUCCUCUCUCCGACUCUCUUUAGCCGCCUCCCUGCAAGUACCCACAUUGAGACCGCCGACAUUGGCUCUCUCUAUUCCAUUUUCCUUUCCUGCUCGUCCUUUUCUCCACGAUCGUAUCUAGUCGUAGGUGUGUUUAGCUUAUUUAAUUUUGUGGAGUUUGGGUACCCCGUCUCUCCGAUCCCCUACCCCCACCCUCGCCGCAUCUGUUCUUCUCACCCUGGAUUGAUUUAUGUGGGGAUUGGGUCAUCUGGACAAGGGUGGAUUUAGAGUGGAGUUCCACAUUCUAAUUCUUUAAUUAAGAUGAAAUCCUAACCUUCUAAUUUAUUUUAUUUUUAGAAAUUUAAUUUCGAUCGAAGUAGAUUAGGGUAAACAUGGAAUUAGGGUAAUUUAAGAUUUAAAAAGAAAUAAAUGAUUGAUUUAAAUGCUCAACUGGUGCUUGAUCAUAGAUAGGUGGGUUUCUAGAUUUUUACGAGGAUAAUUAGUUUCCUUAAUUAUGUUAAAUUAUUGAUAUUAAUUUGAUUGGAUAUGCUUGAUGCAUUUUGUGGCUCGUGGGCAUAUCCUGAUUUGGGUUCUAUUGCCCGUUAAGGGUAAGAAUUUUCCUUUGCACACUUUCUUGCAUGAAUGUACACUUUGAUAUGCUUAUAUUUAUUAUAGAGGAUAGAAGAACUUGAUAAUAUUUUUAUAUAGUUUAUUGUAAGUUCGAUGUAUACAUGAAAUUGAUAUAAAUGUGGCUUGCAUAAUUUGAUGGUUGAUGGUAGUGAUGGACUAGCCAUAUUUAUCGUUCCUCAUUACAGGCUAGAAACGUAGUAUUAUCCCCAUCAAAGACUGAAAAUAUGGUACCAUCGUUUUUCCGUCAUAGGCUAAAAAUGUGAUCAGGGAUGGUCCAAAGUCGAAACUAACUUGAAACACUUGGUAUACACUUCUGAUACUUAUGGAUGAGUGAGGUAUAUGGGCUAAACUCGUUAAUAUCAUUACUCCAUCACAAACUAUAAAUGUGCCAUCGUUUUCCCAUUCUGAAAAUUUUGCACCAUCGUUGCCUCAUCAUGGGCUAGAAACAUGGUCCACUCGAAGCUGAAUUCAAAUUAAACUAUAUUUGUUAAUUGACAUCUAAAUAAUGGGGACACAAUACAUGGAACAGAAGAGGUCAAAAUUUAACAUGCCCCCUCAACAAUAAGCAAUAUUGCAUCAACAUAAAAUCAAAAGCUUACCAGCUACAAAGAAAAAGAGAACAAAAGCAAUAGAAGAAGAGAACAAUAAAUUGUCUCUCAAACUUUUGGCAAGCACAAAAGCAGGAAAACAAUGAUCAAGUGCAAGUCCUCACAGCAAACAGUGGCACAAAAACUCAACUUCAACAAACUGUAUAUCCCACUCACCUUGCCUUAGUUAUUGCAUUAGUGCAACAAAAAUUUCUUUUGCUCCCUUCAUACAGGUCUUCCAUCGACAACACAGUAUAAUACACCCAACUGUUGAAGAUAAUUGAAAGAACUCACACAAAAUCAUUUCUCUUUUUAUUUUUUAUUUUCAUAUAUAGUAUAUCUAUGUCCAUCACUCUUAAUAUUCAGGCUCUUCUUUCGCUCCACAUUAACGAGUUCUGUCCAUGAUUAUAUUUGCCAGACACCUAAGAUGUAUGUGAUGUGUGAAUAUAUGUACCCCCUAUUUUGUUUUAUUCCAAUUCUGGAACUCAUACUUGUGCACUAAUGCAGCAUCCGUGACCGAGUUACCAUCUUUAAGUUACAGAGCCUGUGACAAGAGUAACUUUAAUGCUUCAAACUCAAUUCAUGGAGUUAUUGUUAGCCUUUUACACAACUGUAAAAAACAAUUUCCUUUCAUUUGCAAAACUUUAGCUUUGACUAUAUUUUAAUAUGAAAGAAACCAAAUAAAACCCAAAUGACAUCAAGAAGCAUUUUAUUGUCAGACUGUGUGACUCAGAAACAUGCUAGAGAAAAAACUGAUAAGCAAUUUCUUAAUUUCUUAAUCAGUUCCAUUUUUUAAUGGAGUUUUGAUCGGUUAUCCAAGAGACAUCCAAAGUAAAAUUAGCUAAAUAUGUUUUAUAUUUUAUGAAUUGUUUUGGCAACUACAGCAUAAUAACUUCAGCAGAGGAGGAUGGAUACAAUUGCAGAUGGUCAUGCCAUUUGAGCAAAGAAGAGAUGAGAUAUUGAUCGAUGCAGUGCACUCGACCACAUUUCUUUUUAAUUAAUUUGAUAUUGUCCAACUUCAAUGCAAGAUCAGGAUCCUCAUAAUAGUACAUCAUAUCGGAGAUCUACAUACAAAAAUAAGUCUGUUGCACUUGCAAAUUUGUCUGCUACGGUCUUUCCCAAACAAUUGUUCAAGAUUGAAAGGUUCUUAGUUUAAGACCAGAUGCAGAUGUGAGAAGAUAUUGAUUUAUCACUGCAUUUAAACCUCACAAUAAAGUCUCCAUUGUGAAGAUCUCGAAACAGUGAAUCCAAAACAAUAGAAAUAUGCCAUCUCUAUGAUUCCAUGUUAAUCCUAAAUCUUUCCAAUGGCUGCAAAUCAUGUUUUGACGGCGUAAUAUUUGCAUGUUUCUUAGCCGCAAGGCCUUGUUAUAUUUUCAGGAUGGAAACAGCAUUUAUGAAACCAAAUCUGCAAGAGUGACGUUAUCAUGAGGAAUAGGAUAAUCAUUUCAAUUGUCAAAUUCUAGGACCAUAUUAUAAGAGAUGCCAUGCCAAAGGAUGAGGAUGCUAGGCUGUUAGAGUUAUGACCUUUUGCUUUGAUUCUUCCACAGUUCUUCAGAAUCUUGAUGACUCAGGUACAAUUGAAAAUAUUAUUAAUUAUGUGUUUUUAUAUGGUCCAAGCCUUUGUGCAGAUAGCACUUGUAGGAAAAAUACUUGUUAGUGAUAGCUAGGCUGUGGGACCACAAAUCUGCUCCUCGGGAGGAGUGCUCCUUUGGAGAGAAAGGGAUGUACAAAUGAAGAAAGACAGACAUAGUGUUAAGGAGGGUUGGUGAAGAAAGAAAAAAGGCCCUUAAGAAGAUGCGUGGAAGUUGCGAGGAACGAUUUAAAAGUGCCCAGUCAUAUGGAAUUUAUAUACCUUGCUAGGAAGGCAAUUAUACUGACAUUCUGUCCCACUUCAAUAUAGUUAGAUCGAACAGACUUAAUAAAUGAAAAAUCCACCCCUGUCUAUCUCUAGCAAUGUUAUGAGGGAUAACAUGUCUGAGUUUGAAUGUGAUCAAGAAUGUCAGGUUGGGAAUAUUUUUGCCUUAACAUAAGAAUAUCCUACAUUGUAUUAAUCAUACUCCUCGAGAUUAACUCUACAUACUCAAUCAGGAUAGCAGUACUUUACGAAUUGAUUGUCUGUCUUCUAUAAAGAGGGUCAGUGUAUGCAUCAACUAUAAUCUAUAUUUCAUUCUGCAUAGCUUCCAUAUCAUGUCAAGCAUGUGCAUAUUAAACAUGUGACAGCAUAAUCUAAUCUUAAAGAAGAUCAAUUCAAAAUCAAAAGAAUGGCUCUAUCCAUUUCUGGGCAACUUUGUCAUGGUUUACGGUGACAUAUGUUCAUCCAUUAAGAAAAAAAAAGCAAGCGUACAGGUGAAAUUCACAGCGUGAGACAUCUGAGAACCAUAUUAACAGAUUCAACAAUCAAUGGUAGAGUUUUUUUUUAACUUUAAUAAGAUUUUUCGAUCAUGUAAAUUGGGUGUUUCAUCUUAUAAUCAUUUUCCUUCUACACAAAAAUCAUUAUAUUUUUCUUUUAUGUACUUUUACAAAUAUGAUUUUUGAUUAAUGCAAUGGAUCCUGGUAAAUGUUCUCAAGCAAGCAUGCGUAUUCCUUGAUGGACUAAACCAUGAUAAAGACCGGCAUAAAGGGUGCUGUAAACAUGCCUAGAAAAGCGUCUGACAUGUUAGCUAGAUCUAUGACACUGUGUUUUCUAAUGCCAAUAGCUCAUCAAAGUUUUCAAUUUUAUAUUUUGGCUUUGCGAAUAAGCUGAAAUUAUCGUGCAUUUCAAAAUAUUUUAAAGCUCUCGGAAUAUGAACCUUUUAGUUAAACAUUAGAAAGGUCCAAAAUUUUGAAUCACAACAAAGAAAAAACAAAAACUGAGAAUAAAUGGUCGUGACAAGUUCUGCAAAUUGAUUCAGAUACACUAAUGUGUUGAUUAAUAAAAUAAAGAGUUCUAUAACUAAUUCAAUGAAUUAGUCUAAGACCCUACAAAAUCUCUAAAUUUCUUGUAUAUAUACUAAAACUUUCCAAAGCAUAACAAGAACUAAAGAAAACAGCUUAGUUUACCGGUUUCACGAAGGCAUCAGCUGGCUCCUCUUUGCCACAGAUUCCAUCCCUCCAAAUGGCCACGACGUCCUACCACCUCGCCGCCGCCGCCGCCGCCGCCGCAUCCAUCCGCACCGCAGGCGAGGACUACGGCGUUAUCUCCCCGGCAUCGGCGGCCGAUCGGCGCCGCCCACCAGCACGUCCGCUUCGAGAGCCAUCAAGAUCGAAGGAGAAUUUGGCCAUCAAUUCGGGAGCGAUCGAAAUGCGAGGAGAUCGAAAAGCGAGGAUGAAGUGAGAGAGCUAAACCCUAGCGAGGUCGCGUUAAGAAGAAAAAGGGGCUUUAGGUUGAC